rnacentral:rRNA from 1 species
AACGUAGGAGACAAACGUUAUCCGGAGUUACUGGGCGUAAAGGGCGUGUAGGUGGUUUCGUAAGUCUGGCGUGAAAUUUUUCGGCUUAACCGGGAAAGGUCGUCGGAUACUGCGGAACUAGAGGACGGUAGAGGCGUGUGGAAUUCCGGGUGUAGUGGUGAAAUGCGUAGAUAUCUGGAGGAAUACCGGUGGCGAAGGCGGCUCUCUGGAACGCAACUGACGCUGAGACGCGAAAGCGUGGGGAGCAAACAGG